GGACAGUCUACAUAGAGUUACAAAGAUUAUGUAUAGUAGAAAAAGCUGGGAAGCUUUGACAUAGAGGGUGAUAUCCCCGUAUACGAAAUGCAUAAUUCUCUUGACUGCAUCCUGAGUAGGGCGGGGCACGUGAAACGCGGACUGAAUCUGCCGGGACCAUCCGGUAAGGCUAAAUACUAACCAGACACCGAUAGUGAACUAGUACCGUGAGGGAAAGGUGAAAAGAACCCCGGGAGGGGAGGGAAAUAGAUUCUGAUACUACUUACUUACAAUUAGUCAGAGCACGUUAAUGUGUGAUGGCGUACAUCUUGCAGUAUGGACCGGCGAGUUAUGUUAACAUGCGAGGUUAAGUGGAUAAAAGCGGAGCCGAAGAGAAAUCGAGUCUGAAUAGGGCGAAUUAGUAUGUUGACAUAGACCCGAAACCAGGUGAUCUAUUCAUGAGCAGGUUGAAGCUUAGGUAAUACUAAGUGGAGGACCGAACCGUAGUACGCUGAAAAGUGCCCGGAUGACUUGUGAAUAGCGGUGAAAUUCCAAUCGAACCUGGAUAUAGCUGGUUCUCCUCGAAAUAGCUUUAGGGCUAGCGUGUGAUGUUAAACUUUGGUGGUAGAGCACUGAAUAUGGAAUGGCGGCGCCUAGCUGUACUGACUAUAAUCAAACUCCGAAUACCAUUGUGUAUUAUCAUGCAGUCGGAACAUCGGUGAUAACGUCGAUGCUCGCGAGGGUAACAACCCAGAUCGGCGGCUAAGGUCCCAAAAUUUAUGUUAAGUGAUAAAGGUUGUGAGGUUUCUCAAACAACUAGGAAGUUGGCUUAGAAGCAGCCAUCUUUUAAAGAGUGCGUAAUAGCUCACUAGUCAAGAGACCUUGCGCCGACAAUGUAACGGGACUAAACAUAAUACCGAAG
rnacentral:rRNA from 1 species